GGUCCAGUAGCUCAGUGGUUAAGAGCACUGCUUAUAUAAAAAGCCAGAGGUCCUUGGUUCAAUCCCAGGCUGGGUCA